GAUGAACGCUGGCGGCGUGCCUAAUACAUGCAAGUCGAGCGAACAGACGAGGAGCUUGCUCCUCUGACGUUAGCGGCGGACGGGUGAGUAACACGUGGAUAACCUACCUAUAAGACUGGGAUAACUUCGGGAAACCGGAGCUAAUACCGGAUAAUAUAUUGAACCGCAUGGUUCAAUAGUGAAAGACGGUUUUGCUGUCACUUAUAGAUGGAUCCGCGCCGCAUUAGCUAGUUGGUAAGGUAACGGCUUACCAAGGCAACGAUGCGUAGCCGACCUGAGAGGGUGAUCGGCCACACUGGAACUGAGACACGGUCCAGACUCCUACGGGAGGCAGCAGUAGGGAAUCUUCCGAAAUGGGCGAAAGCCUGACGGAGCAACGCCGCGUGAAUGAUGAAGGUCUUCGGAUCGUAAAACUCUGUUAUUAGGGAAGAACAAAUGUGUAAGUAACUAUGCACGUCUUGACGGUACCUAAUCAGAAAGCCACGGCUAACUACGUG
rnacentral:rRNA from 1 species